rnacentral:lncRNA from 1 species
UCUCUCUACUGUUGGGAGCCACUGAUCUUCUCUCCUAGAAUCACACAUGCUCAAGAGGCCAACUGAGAACCAGCGAAACUGUUCCUGCUGUUGAAACAAGUCAGACACCGGCUUGGGACCCACUUCCCAAAGGCACAAAGUCAGAGUGUCAAUCCAUCGUGCUGCCCUUUCCCGCAGUCUAAAUAAAAAAUAAUUUCCUCCGCUUGGAAUUAAGCACUGUUUUGAGUGGAAGCACAAUAUGUUUUGUUUCAGCGGCAUUAGCAUUUAAGGU